rnacentral:rRNA from 1 species
UACAGAGGGGGCAAGCGUUGUUCGGAAUUACUGGGCGUAAAGGGCGCGUAGGCGGCCUUCUAAGUCGAACGUGAAAUCCCCGGGCUCAACCCGGGAACUGCGUCCGAUACUGGAAGGCUUGAAUCCGGGAGAGGGAUGUGGAAUUCCAGGUGUAGCGGUGAAAUGCGUAGAUAUCUGGAGGAACACCGGUGGCGAAGGCGGCAUCCUGGACCGGCAUUGACGCUGAGGCGCGAAAGCCAGGGGAGCAAACGGG